GUCAGGAUGGCCGAGUGUUCCAAGGCCCUGUGUUCAGGUCGCAGUCUCCUCCUGGAGGCAUGGGUUCAAAUCCCACUUCUGCCU
rnacentral:tRNA from 1 species